rnacentral:rRNA from 1 species
UACGUAGGGUGCAAGCGUUGUCCGGAAUUAUUGGGCGUAAAGAGCUCGUAGGCGGUUUUGUCGCGUCUGCUGUGAAAACCUAAGGCUCAACCUUGGGCUUGCAGUGGGGUACGGGCAGACUAGGGUGGCGGUAGGGGAGAUCGGAAUUCCUGGUGUAGCGGUGGAAUGCGCAGAUAUCAGGAGGAACACCGGUGGCGAAGGCGGUUCUCUGGGCCUGUACUGACGCUGAGGAGCGAAAGCGUGGGGAGCGAACAGG